CUAAGCGGUACAACACGCUAUCGAUGCGAUAUCAUCGACAAAUUGUGUUUCGCCACAAAAGCAAAGUUAACGACGAAUCGCAAACGAAUUACAACGGAUUGUGUUUUGAUUCUCGAGUGGAUACAAUGCAAAUGUUACUUAACUGAGACGCCAAAUGAGUGUAUAACAAGUAAAACAAAAAGCGUUUGGCAAAAACAAAAA